rnacentral:rRNA from 1 species
GACAGAGGGGGCAAGCGUUGCUCGGAAUUACUGGGCGUAAAGGGCGCGUAGGCGGGAUGGCAAGUCGGUCGUGAAAUCCCUCGGCUCAACUGAGGAUCGUCGAUCGAUACUGCCGUUCUUGAGGAUUGCAGAGGAGACUGGAAUUCCCGGUGUAGCGGUGAAAUGUGUAGAGAUCGGGAGGAACGCCGGUGGCGAAGGCGGGUCUCUGGGCAAUUCCUGACGCUGAGGCGCGAAAGCGUGGGGAGCAAACGGG